rnacentral:rRNA from 1 species
AUUGAACGCUGGCGGCAUGCCUUACACAUGCAAGUCGAACGGCAGCACGGGGCAACCUGGUGGCGAGUGGCGAACGGGUGAGUAAUGCAUCGGAACGUACCUUUCAGUGGGGGAUAACGUAGCGAAAGUUACGCUAAUACCGCGUAUUCUGUGAGCAGGAAAGCAGGGGAUCGCAAGACCUUGCGCUGAUUGAGCGGCCGAUGUCAGAUUAGCUAGUUGGUGAGGUAAAGGCUCACCAAGGCGACGAUCUGUAGCGGGUCUGAGAGGAUGAUCCGCCACACUGGAACUGAGACACGGUCCAGACUCCUACGGGAGGCAGCAGUGGGGAAUUUUGGACAAUGGGCGCAAGCCUGAUCCAGCCAUGCCGCGUGCGGGAAGAAGGCCUUCGGGUUGUAAACCGCUUUUGUCAGGGAAGAAAUGUUCUGGGUUGAUACCUCGGAAAAAUGACGGUACCUGAAGAAUAAGCACCGGCUAACUACGUGCCAGCCGCCGCGGUAACAC